rnacentral:miRNA from 1 species
GUGAUUCUUCAUGCCUGCCGUUGGGAAAACUGGAAACUGAGUGGCUGGGACAGCAGGCAGACAGAACCUGACAUCUCAGGCUGCUCCGUUUCCCUCAGGUCCCCAGUUGGGCCAUGGAUA